AUUGAACGCUGGCGGCAGGCCUAACACAUGCAAGUCGAACGAGUGGCGGACGGGUGAGUAAUGUCUGGGGAACUGCCCGAUGGAGGGGGAUAACUCCUGGACACGGUCGCUAAUACCGCAUACUAUCGGAUGUGCCCAGAUGGGAUUAGCUAGUAGGUGGGGUAAAGGCUCACCUAGGCGACGAUCCCUAGCUGGUCUGAGAGGAUGACCAGCCACACUGUGACUGAGACACGGCCCAGACUCCUACGGGAGGCAGCAGUGGGGAAUAUUGCACAAUGGGCGCAAGCCUGAUGCAGCCAUGCCGCGUGUAUGAAGAAGGCCUUAGGGUUGUAAAGUACUUUCAGCGGGGAGGCGUUACUCGCAGAAGAAGCACCGGCUAACUCCGUGCCAGCAGCCGCGGUAAUUC
rnacentral:rRNA from 1 species